UACUAUAUGCGUGCAACCAGAAUGUCUCUGUACUUUUGAGCUUACUGCUUCUCCGUUUCUUGCCCCCUUUCUUAUCAUUGUGUCCAGCUUUUAUGCAUCUCUAAUGUUCUAUCCAUUGCCUAACUAUGCUCAUUCUUGCUUUUUAGAUAUCGAAGCUUCAUCAUGUGAAUGUCGUGGCAUUUUAUGAGUUGUGCAAGAUGGGCCUGGAGAAACCUUAGCCACAAUUGCAGAAUUUAUGGUCGAUGGUUCUGUGAGUCAUGUUUUACUCCACAAGGAUAAGUGUCUAGACUGCCGAGAGGGGCUCAUAAUUGAAAUGGAUGCUGCACUGUUGCAAAAUAAAGAGUAUUCUGCAUUUUGAUCUGGAAUGUGACAAUGUGCUGGUGAAUUUGGAAGAUCUUCCAGGAAAAAAAGAAAUAUAGAUGACCUUCUCCCUCCAAUGUCCAUCAUCAGGUUCUCAUGCAUAACAUAAGGAAUUGGAAAAUAGAACCCCACCGUGCGAGAAUGGAUGGAGACCAGCAGUACCAGUCCUUGAAUGCCCCUUUGCAUUGCAAUGAUCGGAUCUUAAAUCACGCCCAGCGGCCAUCAGGUAUGCUGCACAUUCCUGAAGUGGAGAGAGACUAGUGACACGGCAGUGCACGCGCUACUUGCAUGUGCGAAAUAUGGUGGUUGUCCACGGGAAGAAAUUGGGUGGUUUCAUGCAUAAGGAACUAAAUGAAAUGAGAAGUUAUAAGAGAUAUGCUAAUUAUACUUGUCUUCUUUUUGUUACUUAUUAUAUGAGUAAUUUGGAAA